GCGUGANGGAUGAAGGGNGCUAUGCCUNGUNNACUUCUUUUGUCUGGGACGAAANAGCCCCGUUUANCGGGAACUGACGGUACCAGNAGNAUAAGCACCGGCUNACUCCGUGCCAGCAGCCGCGGUAAUACGGAGGGUGCAAGCGUUAUCCGNNAUCACUGGGUUUAAAGGGUGCGUAGGCGGCUUAGUAAGUCAGUGGUGAAAGGCUGUGGCUUAACCAUGGGAUUGCCAUUGAUACUGCUGAGCUUGAAUGAGGUUGAGGUUAGCGGAAUGUGACAUGUAGCGGUGAAAUGCUUAGAUAUGUCAUGGAACACCAAUUGCGAAGGCAGCUAACUGGACCUUAAUUGACGCUGAGGCACGAAAGCGUGGGUAGCGAACAGGAUUAGAUACCCUGGUAGUCCACGCCCUAAACGAUGCUUACUCGUUGUUUGACAGCCGUCAAGGCCGUUGAGUGACUAAGCGAAAGCGAUAAGUAAGCCACCUGGGGAGUACGACUCGUCAAGGUUGAAACUCACAAGGNAAUUGACGGGGGUCCGCACAAGCGGNUGGAGUCAUGUGGUUUAAUUCGAUGAUACGCGAGGAACCUUACCUGGGCUAGCAAUGNCGCGUGUUAUGGGUGUGAAAGCAUCCAGGCCUAGCUAAUAGGACACAAAGNCAAGGUGCUGCAUGGUCUGUCGUCAGCUGUGAC
rnacentral:rRNA from 1 species